UCAGGCCCACACAUUUUUCUAUCUUAUGGAUUAAACCUAUUAGUCUCUCUUCCGCGCUGUCAAGACGCUCCAUCUCCACCGGUUGCUCUUCUCCUUAACUCACGAUCCAUGCUGUUUCACCAUUUGAUGCGAAAUGAAGUCUUCCAUCGGAUCUGCUGAUUCUGGCGACGUUCUUGUCGUUCAUUACAGCAGACACGGGACGAGGUUGCCCACUGAGACUGGUGAAGACGAUGAUACGGUCUACGACGAGUGUAUUGUUCCUUGCACGUGAAUUUAGAGGAGAAUCGAGAAGCAACCCAACACUAAUCGAUGGUCAAUGAUUCAAUCUCUCUUUCGAUGCUCCAAUCUCUUUCUAUUGAUGGUUUCCGACAAUGAAUCCCCAGAAAAAAUCUUAUUUAGAUGAUUUUGUACUUGUGGACAAAAUUUGCCUCAAGGAUUACAAGUUUGUGUGUGGUGAUGUUGUAGUGUUCAGAUAUGUUCCUUAUGCCAAACCACGUUUGAGUCAUCUUUUGACAAGAACUAUAUAAUGAGUUUUAGUUGAUUACAUAUGAUGGAUAUGAUGAUGUGGUAUGACCUCCCAAAGAGUUAGCAAGAUUGGUCGAUAAAGCUAAUUGAGAAGAAGAAGGAGAAUGACAUGGUGUGGCAAACGACUUCUCUUUACCAUUUGGUUCACACUGCUGCUCUUCUCUCUGCACCUAGCACCAAAUAUCCCAACCUUGUAAACUUUCUCUUGUGUGUCAUGUUUCUUGCUUGAAGUUCAAGCUGCUUCUUCUUCCUUUUUUAAAGCGAGUUAAAAAAAAAAAAAAAAUUAAGAACUUUACCAUUGGAGGUAUAUUUUUCAGUUGUAUCUUAAUGGUUCAUUUCCUUUGUCAGAUCUGUUGCAGGAUUUAGAACAGUUGAAGCUAAACCAGACAUAUGAAAGAACCAUAUACUAGCAGCAAAUUCAUAACAUUUCUACAAAGAGAACCUACAGCAGGUGGAGAUUGAGCUUCAAGCCCAAUGAUUACAAUGGAAUCAAGAGAAGGACAGAGAGCUUCAUGCGAUUAAACUACAAAGAGGGCAUUGUUGGAUUCGACGUUGGGUUAGCAGCAAUGGGAAAUCGAGCAGGAGGAACCUAUGAGCUGUAAGUGUAUCGAGGCAUGUAAGAAGGUGAGGAUGGAGAUUUGAAUGUAUCUUUUUUAUAUAAAAAGCUAUUUUCUGUAUUUAUUUGAGUAUUUGACUAUGAUAUGUUGUGUUCUAUAUAAUAUUGAGAAUCGAAUGUUGCAGUAAACAAUCUGAUUUAUAGUUUUUAUUUUUCUUUUUGUUCCUUUUACUGUUUUUGGGAUAGUGCUGCUUUGUAGGGUGAAUCUGGAAGCUACUGUUUUUGGGAUAGUGACGCUUACUUUAAGUUACAGAUAUUGAGAACCAGUGGUGAGUGAGCAAGAACCCAAAAGAGAGAGCUGAAGAGAUUAAGAGAGAAGAGGAGCAUUUUGUCUAAGACAGAGUAGUUGAUGUUUUUGUAUAUAAGAUUUCGUUUGGAUUAGUUUUUUUUGUAAAAAAUAUGUUUUAAAUGUAUUUUUAUGAAAUAAUAUAUAUAUUUAAAUA